rnacentral:rRNA from 1 species
UACGUAGGGUGCGAGCGUUAAUCGGAAUUACUGGGCGUAAAGCGUGCGCAGGCGGUCUGUUAGGACAGAUGUGAAAUCCCCGGGCUUAACCUGGGAACUGCAUUUGUGACUGGCAGGCUAGAGUAUGGCAGAGGGGGGUAGAAUUCCACGUGUAGCAGUGAAAUGCGUAGAGAUGUGGAGGAACACCGAUGGCGAAGGCAGCCCCCUGGGUUAACACUGACGCUCAGGCACGAAAGCGUGGGGAGCAAAC